rnacentral:misc_RNA from 1 species
UUUCCGUAGGCGAACCUGCGGAAGGAUCAUUACCGAGUGAGGGCCCUCUGGGUCCAACCUCCCACCCGUGUUUAUCGUACCUUGUUGCUUCGGCGGGCCCGCCUCACGGCCGCCGGGGGGCACCCGCCCCCGGGCCCGCGCCCGCCGAAGACACCAUUGAACGCUGUCUGAAGAUUGCAGUCUGAGCAUCUUAGCUAAAUCAGUUAAAACUUUCAACAACGGAUCUCUUGGUUCCG